AAAGGCAUAGCUCAGUGGUAGAGUGUGUGCACAAGGUCCUGGGUUCAAUCCCCAGUACCACCA
rnacentral:tRNA from 1 species